UACAAGAGGGCUUCAGAUACUUACCUACUAGACAUGCUUUUACACAGUUGUGUUUCACCUCUAUUCAAUAUUGUUGAUGGAAUCUGGAGAUAUAAGUUGUCUUAUUACAAGUUUAAUUGUUUAUUUUUAAAUGGAAUAUUAUUACUGCUGUUCUUCAUCAGUAGCAAUCCUGGUAUUGUCUUUUGCCCCCUCAACAUGAUAUAAUGAUCAUCCUUUGUUUAUGGAGUUAAGAUCUAAUGGAAAUGUUCACAAACAGCCGCCCCAAAUCUCUGAAGCAUGAGAACCUAUAUUUAUUAAAAUAAUUUCACUGAAGAUUUUUCUGGGAAAAUGAAAACAGCUUCACAGGGAGAAGAGCUACAUUUGGAAAGAUUUUCCCUUUCAUCCUGCGGAGGAAUUUGUUACUUCCUGUGGUUCAUUUUUUCUUGAAAACAUGGAUCUUUUGCACAGAUUCAGAAAGAAAUAUACAAAAGUAAAUAUUAAAAAGGUAUCACUUGAACUAUCUCUGCAAAAAUAUUUUUCUCAUUUAAACCUAAAAUUUGAGACUUCUGGGUUUUUUCAUUUCAUCAUAAGACUCAGUUCUUAAGAUGGAAACAUUUUGACAGCUGAUGCAAAAACCCCCAAACCAUUACUAUGUAUAUUAGAAAAUUUUAUUUAACUUCAGUGCUUCUUUUCUAUUAUAAAAUGAUUGGGUCUGUGUCCCACAUUGAAAUGAGCUGUCAUGGUUCAGGAAUGGUACUCUUCAAACCACACUGCCGCAGGUUCACUCCUGCCCUCCCCUUGCCACCUGUGGUGGGAUGGAGGAGAGAAAUGGAGGAACAAAAGGUAAAGGUAUCACCUUGAGAUAACAACAAUUUACAGAAACAGCAAUGAGAUCAGAAAACAAACAGCAACAAUUACACUACUAAUAAGAAAAAUGUACAAGAGAGAGGGGAGUGCUUCACAUGUGAAAUGCUCAGAACCAGGGUUACCCUGAUCUCUUCCUCCGCCACAGGAACACAACCAGAAUUCCUUCUCCAGGAAAGAGACUCUGCUCCUCCCACCUCUAGCAAAGACAAAAAGUGGUAUAGACCAGCCUCUGUGUCCUAGCCAUUCCCCCUCCUUAGCAGAUACUGCAAAAAUUAUCCUUGUCCUAGCCAGAACCAGGACAUAAACUUUAUAAAUAGAUUCAUUUAUAACUAGGAGGAAUUCUUCUUGCAAUCAGCCCAAAACAACUGACCAAGACAAACAUUUUAUAUUUUUAUAGUAUUAUAUAAAAAUUAAAUUACACCAAAUAUUUUUAUUAUUAUUAAUAACAUAGAUCACACACAUUCAAAGAGACAAAAAGUGUGUCCUCACAGGGUAAUAGUAAGAAGUGGAAAUGUCAAAUAAAUAUUCUGAAAAAAGCUUUCCCUCUCAACAAGAAAAAAAUAGACACUUUAGACCAUGAGUCACACAGCUUAUUUAAAGUCUGCUUUAAAGAAAAGAUUAAAUGUAACUAAAAAUACUUGUUUGUUCUCUACUGACUCUAAAUAAAGACUAGAUAUUGACCUUAAGAAUACAUGCUUACAUGAGAGACAUUUAAACAAAUUUGUCUCCAGACUCGAGACAUGUGAAAGAUUCCUCCCCCACCAAUCUUUUAGUAUUAGUAAAUUUAUGUCUGGGUU